GACGAACCGUGCGAACGUUGUUCGGAAUCACUGGGCUUACAGAGUUCGUAGGCGGUCUGGAAAGUUGGGUGUGAAAUCCCUCGGCCUAACCGAGGAACUGCGCUUGAAACUACCAGACUCGAGGGAGAUAGAGGAAAGCGGAACUGAUGGUGGAGCGGUGAAAUGCGUUGAUAUCAUCAGGAACACCGGUGGCGAAGGCGGCUUCUGGGUCG
rnacentral:rRNA from 1 species